rnacentral:rRNA from 1 species
AGAGUUUGAUCCUGGCUCAGGAUGAACGCUAGCUACAGGCUUAACACAUGCAAGUCGAGGGGCAGCAUUUUAGUUUGCUUGCAAACUAAAGAUGGCGACCGGCGCACGGGUGAGUAACACGUAUCCAACCUGCCGAUAACUCGGGGAUAGCCUUUCGAAAGAAAGAUUAAUACCCGAUGGCAUAAUAGAACCGCAUGGUUUGAUUAUUAAAGAAUUUCGGUUAUCGAUGGGGAUGCGUUCCAUUAGGCAGUUGGUGGGGUAACGGCCCACCAAACCUUCGAUGGAUAGGGGUUCUGAGAGGAAGGUCCCCCACAUUGGAACUGAGACACGGUCCAAACUCCUACGGGAGGCAGCAGUGAGGAAUAUUGGUCAAUGGGCGAGAGCCUGAACCAGCCAAGUAGCGUGAAGGAUGACUGCCCUAUGGGUUGUAAACUUCUUUUAUAAAGGAAUAAAGUCGGGUAUGCAUACCCGUUUGCAUGUACUUUAUGAAUAAGGAUCGGCUAACUCCGUGCCAGCAGCCGCGGUAAUACGGAGGAUCCGAGCGUUAUCCGGAUUUAUUGGGUUUAAAGGGAGCGUAGAUGGAUGUUUAAGUCAGUUGUGAAAGUUUGCGGCUCAACCGUAAAAUUGCAGUUGAUACUGGAUGUCUUGAGUGCAGUUGAGGCAGGCGGAAUUCGUGGUGUAGCGGUGAAAUGCUUAGAUAUCACGAAGAACUCCGAUUGCGAAGGCAGCUUACUAACCUGUAACUGACAUUGAUGCUCGAAAGUGUGGGUAUCAAACAGGAUUAGAUACCCUGGUAGUCCACACGGUAAACGAUGAAUACUCGCUGUUUGCGAUAUACGGCAAGCGGCCAAGCGAAAGCGUUAAGUAUUCCACCUGGGGAGUACGCCGGCAACGGUGAAACUCAAAGGAAUUGACGGGGGCCCGCACAAGCGGAGGAACAUGUGGUUUAA